GACGAACGCUGGGGCGUGCCUAAUACAUGCAAGUAGAACGCUGAAGGAGGAGCUUGCUUCUCUGGAUGAGUUGCGACGGGUGAGUAACGCGUAGGUAACCUGCCUGGUAGCGGGGGAUAACUAUUGGAAACGAUAGCUAAUACCGCAUAAUAGUAGAUGUUGCAUGACAUUUACUUAAAAGGUGCAAUUGCAUCACUACCAGAUGGACCUGCGUUGUAUUAGCUAGUUGGUGGGGUAACGGCUCACCAAGGCGACGAUACAUAGCCGACCUGAGAGGGUGAUCGGCCACACUGGGACUGAGACACGGCCCAGACUCCUACGGGAGGCAGCAGUAGGGAAUCUUCGGCAAUGGACGGAAGUCUGACCGAGCAACGCCGCGUGAGUGAAGAAGGUUUUCGGAUCGUAAAGCUCUGUUGUAAGAGAAGAACGAGUGUGAGAGUGGAAAGUUCACACUGUGACGGUAACUUACCAGAAAGGGACGGCUAACUACGUGCCAGCAGCCGCGGUAAUACGUAGGUCCCGAGCGUUAUCCGGAUUUAUUGGGGCGUAAAGCGAGCGCAGGCGGUUAGAUAAGUCUGAAGUUAAAGGCUGUGGCUUAACCAUAGUACGCUUUGGAAACUGUUUAACUUGAGUGCAGAAGGGGAGAGUGGAAUUCCAUGUGUAGCGGUGAAAUGCGUAGAUAUAUGGAGGAACACCGGUGGCGAAAGCGGCUCUCUGGUCUGUAACUGACGCUGAGGCUCGAAAGCGUGGGGAGCAAACAGG
rnacentral:rRNA from 1 species